UACAGAGGUCCCAAGCGUUGUUCGGAUUCAUUGGGCGUAAAGGGCGCGUAGGCGGCCCUGUCAGUCGGGUGUGAAAGCCCGGGGCUCAACCCCGGAACGGCACCCGAGACGGCGGGGCUGGAGACCGGGAGAGGAGGGUGGAAUAGCCAGUGUAGAGGUGAAAUUCGUAGAUAUUGGCUGGAACACCGGUGGCGAAAGCGGCUCUCUGGCCCGGUUCUGACGCUGAGGCGCGAAAGCGUGGGGAGCAAACAGG
rnacentral:rRNA from 1 species